rnacentral:rRNA from 1 species
UACGUAGGGUGCGAGCGUUAAUCGGAAUUACUGGGCGUAAAGCGUGCGCAGGCGGUUUUGUAAGACAGGCGUGAAAUCCCCGACGCUCAACUUGGGAAUUGCGCUUGGGACUGCAAGGCUAGAGUGUGUCAGAGGGGGGGUAGAAUUCCACGUGUAGCAGUGAAAUGCGUAGAGAUGUGGAGGAAUACCGAUGGCGAAGGCAGCCCCCCUGGGACAUGACUGACG